ensembl:snoRNA SNORA74 Small nucleolar RNA SNORA74
UCCAGCAGUUGUCAGCUAUCCAGGCUAAUGUGAUGCCUCGGAUGGUGUUACACUGUUGGAAGAGCAAGCGCUGCCUUUAUUGAGGUCUGGCCUCAAGCACUGUUUUGGUGGUGUGGCCAAGUACCUUUGGGUAGCGUUUUGCACCUCUGAGAGUGGAGUAACUCCUCCUGUGGAGUUGGUCCUAGUCUGGGUGCAAACAAU